GUAAAGUUUCAGCUUAUUUUGCAUGUCUUCCGCGAGACUUAAGAGUCGGGUUGCACGGGUUUCAUAUAGUGACGGAUGAUUCACGAAUCAACCGGUUCUUUUGAAUGAAUCUUUUAAAGAAUCGAUUCACUCAUCUACACAACCAAUUCAAUCUGAGUCUAUUCCAGGAACACUGGGAGUGAUGCAGGAAUCAAGUUUAUACAAGAAGAUUCACAUACCUGCAGGGUUUUUGGGAGGAAACCAGAAAACCCAGAGGAAACCUGGGAAGACGUAACCUGAGAUCGAACUUGUGAUCCUGGAGCUGUAAGACUGCAAUGCUGAACUUUAAUCAGCUGUGAAUAUUAGCAGUUAUACUGGACUGUGAAUUGAAAACAUGGUGCAUGGUUUAGAGCUGUUGUGGGAUUUUACUGAUGAUUCCAAAAACAGACUAGAGGAUGUUUGCAUAAAAUAAAUACACGAAUAAAUCA